rnacentral:rRNA from 1 species
CCUACGGGCGGCAGCAGUGGGGGAUAUUGGGCAAUGGGCGCAACCCUGACCCAGCAACGCCGCGUGGAGGAAGAAGGCUUUCGGGUUGUAAACUUCUUUUGACAGGGAAGAGUAUCAGACGGUACCUGUCGAAUCAGCCACGUCUCACUACGUGCCAGCCGCCGCGGUAAUACGUAGGUGGCACGCGUUGGCCGUAUUUACUGGGUGUAAAGGGCGUGUAGCCGGGUUGACAAGUCAGAUGUGAAAUCCUGCGGCUUAACCGCAGAACUGCAUUUGAAACUGUUGAUCUGGAGUACUGGAGAGGCAGACGGAAUUCCUAGUGUAGCGGUGAAAUGCGUAGAUAUUAGGAGGAACACCAGUGGCGAAGGCGGUCUGCUGGACAGUAACUGACGGUGAGGCGCGAAAGCGUGGGGAGCAAACAGGAUUAGAUACCCUUGUAGUC